UACCUACAUCUAUUCCUCUGUUCUACAUGUUCUAAAAUUCGUGGAAAAUUCAAUAACAACAAUUGCGACCAUUAACGGUUGCGUAACGUCAUUUGUGAUACGUUUAAAUAACUAAAUUCAAAUAUUGCCGCCCGGAACUUGAAUUGACCAGCUCAGUCAUCUACAAUCAGUGACAUUCAAUACCUACUGAGUAGCUGACAAGAAUUUGACAAACGAUACGUAUAAAGUUUACAAUUUACUAAUUAAUUCUAUAUCUAUGAUUCUGUACAAUAAAUAUUCGUUAGGUACUAUUGGACCAGUGACUAAUCGACCACAAAGAAUGUACACAAAUUACAGAAAUCGGAUCAAUUUUAAAAAAUUACUGCUACGAGCAUUCAAAUGGAUGCAUAUUUACUGGAACUACCAAUAUAAUAUAGGCAUCCUACCAUCGGCAAACGAAACGUAGCCAGAUAGUGUUCGAGUGAUAAUUCCUGAUACUGAACAAAAUUGUUUUCAAUAAGAGACGACUCGAUGAUUCAAAUACUGUACAUUCUGUUACGGUUCUGUGUGCAUCUAGAUAUACUCUUUCUCUUGUGCUUUAAAUGAUAAUCUCUUCUUUUUAUAUAAACUAUGCUAUUUUA
rnacentral:lncRNA from 1 species